rnacentral:rRNA from 1 species
AUGAACGCUGGCGGCGUGCCUAAUACAUGCCAGUCGAGCGCACGGACGAGAAGCUUGCUUCUCUGAUGUUAGCGGCGGACGGGUGAGUAACACGUGGAUAACCUACCUAUAAGACUGGGAUAACUUCGGGAAACCGGAGCUAAUACCGGAUAAUAUUUUGAACCGCAUGGUUCAAAAGUAAAAGACGGUCUUGCUGUCACUUAUAGAUGGAUCCGCGCUGCAUUAGCUAGUUGGUAAGGUAACGGCUUACCAAUGCAACGAUGCAAAGCCGACCUGAGAGGGUGAUCGGCCACACUGGAACUGAGACACGGUCCAGACUCCUACGGGAGGCAGCAGUAGGGAAUCUUCCGCAAUGGGCGAAAGCCUGACGGAGCAACGCCGCGUGAGUGAUGAAGGUCUUCGGAUCGUAAAACUCUGUUAUUAGGGAAGAACAUAUGUGUAAGUAACUGUGCACAUCUUGACGGUACCUAAUCAGAAAGCCACGGCUAACUACGUG